UACGUAGGGACCGAGCGUUGUCCGGAAUCAUUGGGCGUAAAGAGCGUGUAGGCGGCCAUUUAAGUCCUGCGUGAAAUCUUGCGGCUCAACCGCAAGCGGUCGUGGGAAACUGGGUGGCUAGAGUGCGGGAGAGGAGAGUGGGAAUUCCUGGUGUAGCGGUGGAAUGCGCAGAGUAUCAGGAAGAACACCCGUGGCGAAGGCGGCUCUCUGGAACGCAACUGACGCUGAGACGCGAAAGCGUGGGGAGCAAACAGG
rnacentral:rRNA from 1 species